rnacentral:rRNA from 1 species
UACAGAGGUCUCAAGCGUUGUUCGGAUUCAUUGGGCGUAAAGGGCGCGUAGGCGGCGGGGUAAGUCAGGUGUGAAAUCUCGAGGCUCAACCUCGAAACUGCACUUGAUACUGCCUUGCUCGAGUACUGGAGAGGAGAGUGGAAUUUACGGUGUAGCAGUGAAAUGCGUAGAUAUCGUAAGGAAGACCAGUGGCGAAGGCGAAUCUCUGGACAGUUACUGACACUGAGGCACGAAGGCCAGGGGAGCAAACGGG